UACGUAGGGUGCGAGCGUUAAUCGGAAUUACUGGGCGUAAAGCGUGCGCCGGCGGUUUUGUAAGCCAGAUGUGAAAUCCCCGGGCUUAACCUGGGAAUGGCAUUUGGGACUGCAAGGCUCGAGUGCGGCAGAGGAGACUGGAAUUCCUGGUGUAGCAGUGAAAUGCGUAGAUAUCAGGAGGAACACCGAUGGCGAAGGCAGGUCUCUGGGCUGACACUGACGCUCAUGCACGAAAGCGUGGGGAGCAAACAGG
rnacentral:rRNA from 1 species